rnacentral:rRNA from 1 species
AUUGAACGCUGGCGGCAGGCUUAACACAUGCAAGUCGAACGAGUGGCGGACGGGUGAGUAAUGCUUGGGAAUCUGGCUUAUGGAGGGGGAUAACGACGGGAAACUGUCGCUAAUACCGCGUACCAUAGGAUGAACCCAUAUGGGAUUAGCUGGUAGGUAAGGUAACGGCUUACCUAGGCGACGAUCCCUAGCUGGUCUGAGAGGAUGAUCAGCCACAAUGGGACUGAGACACGGCCCAGACUCCUACGGGAGGCAGCAGUGGGGAAUAUUGCACAAUGGGCGCAAGCCUGAUGCAGCCAUGCCGCGUGUAUGAAGAAGGCCUUCGGGUUGUAAAGUACUUUCAGUCGGGAGGCGUUACCGACAGAAGAAGCACCGGCUAACUCCGUGCCAGCAGCCGCGGCAAUAC